GACGAACGCUGGCGGCGUGCUUAACACAUGCAAGUCGAACGGAAAGGCCUUUUAGGAGGUACUCGAGUGGCGAACGGGUGAGUAACACGUGGGUGAUCUGCCCUGCACUCUGGGAUAAGCCUGGGAAACUGGGUCUAAUACCGGUAAGGCACGCACUCUAGAGUGUGUGGUGGAAAGUUUUUUUUGUGUAGGAUGAGCCCGCGGCCUAUCAGCUUGUUGGUGGGGUAUUGGCCUUCCAAGGCGGCGACGGGUAGCCGGACUGAGAGGUUGGUCGGCCACAUUGGGACUGAGAUACGGCCCAGACUCCUACGGGAGGCAGCAGUGGGGAGUAUGGCACAAUGGGCGCAAGCCUGAUGCAGCGACGCCGCGUGGGGGAUGACGGCCUUCGGGUUGUAAACGCCUUUCGCCAGGGACGAAGCGUUUUGUGACGGUACCUGGAGAAGAAGCACCGGCUAACUACGUG
rnacentral:rRNA from 1 species